AUUGAACGCUGGCGGCAUGCUUUACACAUGCAAGUCGAACGGUAACAGGGUGCUUGCACCGCUGACGAGUGGCGAACGGGUGAGUAAUGCAUCGGAAUGUACCGUGUAAUGGGGGAUAGCUCGGCGAAAGCCGGAUUAAUACCGCAUACGCCCUGAGGGGGAAAGUGGGGGACCGAAAGGCCUCACGUUAUACGAGCAGCCGAUGUCUGAUUAGCUAGUUGGUGAGGUAAAGGCUCACCAAGGCGUCGAUCAGUAGCGGGUCUGAGAGGAUGAUCCGCCACACUGGGACUGAGACACGGCCCAGACUCCUACGGGAGGCAGCAGUGGGGAAUUUUGGACAAUGGGCGCAAGCCUGAUCCAGCCAUGCCGCGUGUCUGAAGAAGGCCU
rnacentral:rRNA from 1 species